rnacentral:rRNA from 1 species
GUUUAAUAAAUUAUUGAAUUUUUAUUUAUGAACAAUUUUAAUUAAAAUAUUAAUUAUUUUAUUAAAAAAAGAAUAAAUUUUAUUAAUUAUAAUGUAUUAGUACUGUGAAGGAAAUUUUUUAAGUAUUAAAAAGAAGUAUUUUUGCGUACCUUGUGCAUCAGGGUUUAUUAAAUAAAAAUUAUUAAUAUUUAUUUUUCUCGAAUUUAAAAGGGCUAAACUAUUAUUUAUUUUAUUGUAUUAUAACUAUUUAUAAUAAUAGUUUAGUAAUGAAAUGUUAUUCGUUUUUAAUUAUAUCUAGUUUUUUAAGAAAAAAAUUUAAUUUUAUUAAUAAAUUUAAAACUAUUUAAUUUUAAAUUUGUUUUAUUUAUUAUUAAAUAUUUUAAGGGAUAAGCUUUAAGAUAAAUUUUUAUAAUUAAAUAGUUAAGUAAAUAUUUAAAUAAUUUAUAGGAUUAGAAAUUUUUUUUAUUAAAAAUUUAUUAAAAUUUAUUAUUUAUUUUAUAUUAUUUUUAUUUAAUUUAAUUUUUCUAUUAAAAUAAAAUUUUAAAUUUUAAAAAUUUUGUAAUAAUGAUAAAAUUAGUAUUAUAUAUAUAUAUAUAUAUAUAUAUAUAUAAGUAAGGUAAAAUAAAGUAAUUCGGCAAAUAUAUUUUUCACCUGUUUAUUAAAAACAUCUCUUUUUGAUCUUAAUUUAAAGUAGGGCCUGCCCACUGAUAUUUGUUGAAGGGCCGCAGUAUUUUGACUGUGCAAAGGUAGCAUAAUCAUUAGUUUUUUAAUUGAAAGCUUGUAUGAAUGGUUUGAUGAAAAAAUAACUUUCUUUAUUUUAAUUUUAAAAAAUUUUAUUUUUAAGUUAAAAAGCUUAAAUAAUUGUAAUAGACGAGAAGACCCUAUAGAGUUUAAUUUUUAUUGAUUAAUAAUUUUUUAGUAUUUAAAAAUUUAUUUUUCAUAUGAAAUUUGAUUGGGGUGAUUAUAAAAUUUAAUUAACUUUUAUUAUUUAUAAAACAUAAAUUUAUGAGUUAUUGAUCCAUUAAUAUGAUUAAAAGAAUAAAUUACCUUAGGGAUAACAGCGUUAUUUUUUUUUAGAGUUCAAAUCGAAAAAAAAGAUUGCGACCUCGAUGUUGGAUUAAAGUAAAUUCUGGGUGUAGUGGUUCAGAAAUUUGGUCUGUUCGACCAUUAAAACUUUACAUGAUCUGAGUUUAAACCGGUGUAAGCCAGGUUGGUUUCUAUCUUUAUAUAGUUAAUAAAUUUUAGUACGAAAGGACCAUAUUUAUAAUUAAUAAUUUUAUUUAAAGAACUAAAUU